GGGGAAUAUUGCGCAAUGGGGGAAACCCUGACGCAGCAACGCCGCGUGCAGGAAGAAGGUCUUCGGAUUGUAAACUGUUGUCGCAGGGGAAGAAGACAGUGACGGUACCCUGUGAGAAAGUCACGGCUAACUACGUGCCAGCAGCCGCGGUAAUACGUAGGUGACAAGCGUUGUCCGGAUUUACUGGGUGUAAAGGGCGCGUAGGCGGGAUAGCAAGUCAGUCGUGAAAUGCCGAGGCUUAACCUCGGAGCUGCGAUUGAAACUGUUAUUCUUGAGUAUCGGAGAGGAAAGCGGAAUUCCUAGUGUAGCGGUGAAAUGCGUAGAUAUUAGGAGGAACACCAGUGGCGAAGGCGGCUUUCUGGACGACAACUGACGCUGAGGCGCGAAAGUGUGGGGAGCAAACA
rnacentral:rRNA from 1 species